rnacentral:siRNA from 1 species
AUAGGAAUGGCCUCUAGUAGAA